rnacentral:rRNA from 1 species
AGGACGAACGCUUGCGGCGUGCCUAAGAAAUGCAAGUCGAGCGAGGGGCUUCGGCCCCUAGCGGCGAACGGUCGCGUAACACGUAGGCAACCUGCCCCAAAGUGGGGGAUAACAGCCCGAAAGGGCUGCUAAUACCGCAUGUGGCCGGUGGAAGGCAUCUUCUACCGUCUAAAGCAUUUAUGCGCUUUGGGAUGGGCUUGCGGCCUAUCAGCUAGUUGGUGAGGUAAUGGCUCACCAAGGCGACGACGGGUAGCUGGUCUGAGAGGACGAUCAGCCGGAUUGGGACUGAGAUACGGCCCAGACUCCUACGGGGGGCAGCAAUUAGGAAUCUUGCGCAAUGGGGGAAACCCUGACGCAGCGACGCGCGUGCGGGAUGAAGGCAUUCGUGUCGUAAACGUCUUUUGGUAGGGAAGAGAACGGACGUAACCCAACGAAUAAGCCCCGGACUAACUACGUGACCGAGCAGCCGC